GAAACUUCCCUUCCUUUUAAUACAUUGGCUUCUGCAGGUUUUGCUUUCUAAAGCUUUCCCUUUUUAAAAAUGCUGCCACUUCGAAUUUCUUCUUCCCGUCUGGAGAGCCUCCCUGAGGAAAACAAAAUGGGCAUCAUACGGGUCUCGUGUUUUUCUCUGUUUCUUUCCUGUCGGUCAAGAAGACACCUGUUGCUUCUCUAGUGAAUGAACAUAAGGACAGCUCUCUGCUAUGGCCUGGGAAAGCAGUAGAAGAUGCUCCAAGUCCUUGGGCCCCUGCACCCGCGUGGGAAACCUGGAAGAAGCUGGCUUCAGAUCGGCCCAGCUCUGGCCUUGUGGCUACACGGGGAGUGAACCAGUGGAUGGAAGACCUCAUUCCCUCUCUGCCUCUGACUUUCUGUAGCUCUGCUUUUCAAAUAAAUUAAACAAAUCUUAAAAAAAAAAA